AUUGAACGCUGGCGGCAGGCCUAACACAUGCAAGUCGAACGAGUGGCGGACGGGUGAGUAAUGUCUGGGAAACUGCCUGAUGGAGGGGGAUAACUACUGGAAACGGUAGCUAAUACCGCAUAACAUCAGAUGUGCCCAGGUGGGAUUAGCUAGUUGGUGGGGUAACGGCUCACCAAGGCGACGAUCCCUAGCUGGUCUGAGAGGAUGACCAGCCACACGGGGACUGAGACACGGCCCAGACUCCUACGGGAGGCAGCAGUGGGGAAUCUUGAACAAUGGACGAAAGUCUGAUCAAGCCAUGCCGCGUGAAUGAAGAAGGUCUUCGGGUUGUAAAGUACUGUCAGCGGGGAGGCGUUACCCAAAGAGGAAGCAACGGCUAACUCCGUGCCAGCAGCCGCGGUAAUAC
rnacentral:rRNA from 1 species